GCCGUGAUCGUCUAGUGGUUAGGACCCUACGUUGUGUGGUCUAAUAGCGUAUAACCGUAGUAACCCAGGUUCGAAUCCUGGUCACGGCA
rnacentral:tRNA from 1 species